rnacentral:pre_miRNA from 1 species
AUUAUACUCCCUCAGUCCGAAAAUACUUAUCGGAGGAACUGAUGUAUUCAGUCAUAUUUUAGUUUUAGAUGCAUACAUUCUUAUCCAUUAUGCGAUAAGUAUUUCCGGACGGAGGGAGUACUUG